GACGAACGCUGGCGGCGUGCCUAAUACAUGCAAGUAGGACGCACAGUUUAUACCGUAGCUUGCUACACCAUAGACUGUGAGUUGCGAACGGGUGAGUAACGCGUAGGUAACCUGCCUAUUAGAGGGGGAUAACUAUUGGAAACGAUAGCUAAUACCGCAUAACAGUAUGUAACACAUGUUAGAUGCUUGAAAGAUGCAAUUGCAUCGCUAGUGGAUGGACCUGCGUUGUAUUAGCUAGUAGGUAGGGUAAAGGCCUACCUAGGCAACGAUACAUAGCCGACCUGAGAGGGUGAUCGGCCACACUGGGACUGAGACACGGCCCAGACUCCUACGGGAGGCAGCAGUAGGGAAUCUUCGGCAAUGGGGGGAACCCUGACCGAGCAACGCCGCGUGAGUGAAGAAGGUUUUCGGAUCGUAAAGCUCUGUUGUUAAGGAAGAACGAGUGUGAGAAUGGAAAGUUCAUACUGUGAC
rnacentral:rRNA from 1 species